GUGCGGUCACAAAAAACAAUGUUUUUUUAACGUUGGCUUUGCCAACGAUCUCGUUAGAGAUGAACAAACGAGUGAACGAGUUUGUGAAUAAUUUUUCACUGU
rnacentral:ncRNA from 1 species